CCAGCCCCUGAGCUCCCAGGAGGACCGUCCGUCUUCAUCUUCCCCCCGAAACCCAGGGACAUCCUCACAAUAUCCCAAACACCCGAGGUCACAUGCGUUGUGGUUGACGUGAGCCAUGAGGACCCCGAUGUCCAGUUCUCCUGGUACGUGGAUGAUGUAGAGUUGCGAACGGCCAAGACGAAGCCAAAGGAGGAGCAGUUCAACAGCACCUACCGUGUGGUCAGCGCCCUGCCCAUCCAGCACCAGGACUGGCUGAAGGGGAAGGUGUUCACGUGCAAGGUCAACAACAAAGGCCUCCCGGCCCCCAUCGUGAGGACCAUCUCCAAGGCCAAAGGGCAGCCCCGGGAGCCGCAGGUGUACGUACUGGCCCCAGCGCGGGAAGAGCUGGCCAAGAGCUCGGUCAGCGUAACCUGCAUGGUCAUCGCCUUCUACCCGGCCGACAUCGACGUGGGGUGGCACAGAAACGGGCAGCCGGAGCCAGAGGGCAACUACGGCACGACCCCGGCCCAGCUGGACGCCGACGGCUCCUUCUUCCUGUACAGCAGGCUCAGGGUGGACAAGAGGAGCUGGCAGCGCGGAGACACCUACACGUGUGUAGUGUUGCACGAGGCGCUACACAACCACAACUCGCAGAAGUCCAUCACCCAGUCUUCGGUUUGUCACCACCAGUGCGGGCGAGCUGACCCCCUCAGGGCCGGACCCAGCGUGUGCGGGUCUGCGCAGGCCGCUUGGGGGCUGCCCGAGGCCGGGGAGGGCCUCUCCCGGAGGGGACAGCUGCUCCGGCCGCCCUCCACCCAGCAGCUGCUGGGGCUGGAGUGUGUGCCCGGGACGGGAGACCCUCAGGAGAAGUCCGCGUGCCGGCUCUCCGCCCUCACGGGGGCCACACACGGCCCGGGGUUGGGGGACGGCCCGGCUGCACUGUCAGGCACGGGAGGUCAGGACCGCCCCGCCUCAGGCCAGGUGAAGUGGAUCUUCUCGUCGGUGGUGGAGCUGAAGCGGACGAUUGUCCCUGACUACAGGAACAUGAUCGGGCAGGGUGCCUAG